UUAAAACAGAGGUGAAGGUUGGAGUUAGAGAGAUUAAAAUAAGAAAAAUAAGCACAUCCUCCUCAGCCCUUAUCCUCCGUAUUAUUCCAGUGGCGGUAGUGACUCCUGCUGGGCUGAGGUCGGAGCUGUGUGCGUGUGUUUGGUGUGGACAACAGCUGGAGUAAAUGCCAUCUGUCACCUUUCUCACAUAUAAAAGAGACUCUUUCCUGGCCUUUCUCCAGCCACUGAUCAAGAUUAUUCUCCCCUUUUUGCAAUCUUUCCUCUGACAUUUUUGAUUCAUUAUCAUAAAUGUGGUGCCUUAUUUCAUUUACAGCAACCUCUCAGUUACUGCAGGAGUAACAUAUUCCUCCUUGUGAGAAAACCUGAAAGAAAUUCUUAAGUGGUCCCCUGAUCAUAAUAAGGUGCGUGAAGUGAUUCUUGUCAUUGUCCCUCCAUUCAAACAGGGGGCACUGCAAUCCCUAUUCUCAUGUUGGGGAGUUAAGUCCAUGCUUGUUUGAAAACUAGAACAAGAGAGCAUGUCUGACACUAGUCCUGAAGAGGAUUAAUGCAUUAAAACUGAGAAACGUUGCAUAAUAUAGAGCUGUGUUGGGGCUUUUAAUGUAUCAGGGGCAGAGUGAGCUGACACACAGCUUGUGAGUGUAAAGACGUGGAGGAGAAAUGAGGCUCCUGCUGACAAUCGUUCUCAUUCUUCUUUUCCUAUGGCUUCACAAGGCUCAGAUGUCUAAUGACACCUCGCAUGGAAAUCCUUGUGAGGUUGUAUCGAUGAGCGAGGCAGCAGUGUCUCUCGUCUUGUCUCCUCUGUCUCUGUACUGCUGGCUGGCAGCAACACUGCUCCGACUCAUCCUGUCCGUCCCGGCUCUCGUCUUCAGCGCCCUCUAUCACUCCCUGCUGCUGCUCCUGGCCUGGCCUUGGUGCGUUGCCAUCGUCUGCGUCUCCCUGCUGCUGACUUGUCUGCAUGUUGCCCUGUACCUGCUUCACCUGGCCCUUGUGGUUGGCGUGGUGGCCAUGUUGACCCUCACGCAGCACAAAAUGGCUGACAGUGACGGCACCAAUGUCAAAGUGUUGUACCAGCAGAAGAAACUGGAGAGGUGUCACAGCAAAAACCAGACCGGGGACAUUUGGUCUUAGAGUAACACAUUAAGGCUAAUAUCUGCUGUAAAAUGAUGUUAUGUGUAUUUCAUCAAGUAAAAAUCCACCUUAAUUAGUUUGGUCCUGCUUUAACCUUCAUUCGUUUAAUGAACAUACAACUGCAGUUUAUUUUUACACAGAUUUUCUGUUUAAAUUGGCUUUGGGACAUUUUGUAGGACGCAACAUAAAAAAGAACUGAUUAGUGUGCGUCCUCGUGGCCUAAAUGAGGGUGAAAAUAUAUCUCCUAGUUGCUACUUUAACAAACUAUGCUUGUCCACUUAUCUAGCUCUCUCAUUUUCUCUCCCCUCGUCACUAAACGUAGCCCCCCCAAUUAUCUGCGGAUUGUUGUGCUGUUUUUUCCCCAUCUGCAGAUGUUAUCAUUAGACAUGUCUGUCAAAUAGAGAUGAGCGGAUAAGAGAAAAAGGGGAGAGGAAUAAGAGAAUAUUUUCUGCAUUCAUUGCGCCUUUUAGAUGUGUGUGUGUUCAUACAGUGCAGGGCAUGCAAGCCAUAUUCCUGAAAUCCACUAAUAAAGGGAGUUAACAGGGAGAGAAACUACAUGUGGUAUCGGCGUUGAGCCAAGGCGGCGAAUGCUUGGCCAACCAGUAAACCGUGUGUGCUGACAUGCUGUGGCUCUCGGAUCUCAGGAAAGCAUUCAAAAUUGCACGAAAAAAACAAUUUUAUCAAAACUAUUAACACUCCAGCCGAAGGGUGUAGCCAUAUAAAGUAAUGGGUGAACUUCCUGUGCUUGUAAAUGUGUGUGAGCGUGUUUGAAAGAGACAGACAGAGAGACAGAAGGGAAAUGAGGCUGGAUCAUAGAGAUUUAUUACAUGGCUGUGGCAUCCUAAUUAGCAUAAAGACUGGACCGGCCCACUCAAGCAGAGAAUUAAAAACCUUAAUUGUGCUGUCAGCCUUCCUCUCUCUUUCUCACUGUUGACUCUACUUCAUUCCACUCGCAUUCGUCUCCUCCCGCUCUCCUCUCUGCUUAUGAAGUAGCAUCCGUCCAUGCUGUUUAAUUGUUGGUGAUAAAUGGGAAGCGGGAUGUUUGUAAUUGUCUCAGAGAUGGGGAGAGGACGACGGUGAUUGUCAAAGAGGAGGAGGAGGAGGAGGAGGACGGGGAGAGUUUUCCUAUUUGAAAAGAGGAGAGUGAGGAGGCCAUUUAUCAAAUGUUUGUUUGAAGGAGGAAAAUUAGCUUGGCAGACACAGGCGAGGAAGCGUUAGUGGGAUUUGAUCCCAGGCCAGACUGGGCUUACACGUGGAGCCAAAGAUUUCUUAUUAUGCAACGUUCACAUCAUAUGGGAUGGAUGGCAGAGAUGAGACAGUUUCCCAUGUUUAUGUGUUCAGAUGGUUGUGUGAGGGUUAAUAAUUGUUUAUAUUGACAUUAUAGCUAUUAAAUGUGGGUUAAAUCACAAAAAAUGCGUGAGUCAUCCAUGUUUGUUUGACAUUCCUAGUUGACCUGAAAGAUGAUUCUAUUUACAAGUCUGACAGUGAUCGUUACUGACCUUUAUUUUGGUCAAAUAUGUUUAUUUAUUAUGGAGGGGUUUUUUCUUUGUUUCUUUAUUUUAGUUUGGACUGCAUGUCCCAGAGAUCGCCUGUAAAUCAACAGGUAAUCCCAUUUUCUUCUUUGGGUUGGCUCUGUGCUAGACCCUAUACAGGUCUUUUAAAAAGAGAUUUUGGAUACUUUAAUGAUCACUAUUUUGUUUCUUCAGUGACAGAUGAAGUACCUGAGAUCAAACUAUAGCUUAACUUUCACAUGUAAGGGGAAAUACAUUCUGUGGACACUAUUUUGUUUGCAGGAGUUUAUGAGGGCACCAUACAGCGCAUAAAUGUCACAAGGAAAAUUCUAGUGCUCAAAAGAAAACAUCAAAAUGAAAUGUAGUGCACUUGGUUUGAAAUGGGGAUAAUGAAAGGUGUCAUCAGAUGUCUGUAAGUUGAAUCACAAGACAUAGAUGAGAAUUAAAAUAAUUAUUAAAUAACAGAAAAGUAAAUAAAUAUAAGCUGUGUACUACCCACACAUCUACGAAAUGCAGUCCAAAAACACAACAGUAUAGACCAGUAGCAACAACCAAUCAGGGAUGCCUAUUAGCAAACAGUACAUUAAUUGCAAUUAAAAUAUGCCACUAAAACUUAACGUGUUAGUUCAACUCGGGGCGAGAAAGCUAUCAGCAGGAAGAGGAAGUCGAGGAACAAGGAGCGCAGCAGUGAAAGGUUUCUCAGGAGGAGGAGGAGGAGGAAGUGUUUUUGCGAGGGUCAGUCCUGUUUGUGCGUCUUUGCUGUCAAAGCCUCUCCUGCAGUAGCAGACGAGGUUAAGACUUAAGAGGCCAGCUCCUCUCACGCUGCCUCUCCCUCAGCACUGACAGCUCGCCCACACACACAUACAUGUAGACAACAGUAUACCCAAUGUGCUUUGUCUUAAACUUUUCACUUUAACCCAAUCCUCCUACCUCCUUUUUUAACCUAUCUGCCCUUCCUCUUGAGCUCCUCUUUUCUGUCUCUGUCUCUCUGUCUCUCUCUCUCUCUCUCUCUCUCUCUCUCUCUCUAAUUGGUCUCCGCUAGGUUAGCUUAGACAGGCCUAUUCAUCAUAGCACUACCCUCAGAGACAAACCCUCAGGGAGCGAGGGGGAGAUAGACGGAGGCAGACGGGAGGGCGAGAGGGUCUGCCGCUUGUCAACCCACUCCUCUCCUCCUUUUUUUCCCCCUCCUUUCUCUCUUUUCUCCCUCCCUCCUUUCUCUGCUCGGUCCAUAGAUGUCAGUUUUGCAAAGGGGUGAGGGAGGUAAGGAGAAGGAGGGAGGGAAUGUAGACACAUUAGUUAGGCUAUUAGUUCAACAAGCUGCUUCCAUGCCUGUCAAUGGUCCGACACCCACACAUCGACAGACAUGUACACACACACACUGUACUCACAUCUGACGUUUGUUACAUGUAGUAUCUGUGUGAGGGAGUGAUUGUGAGUGACAGGCCGAGGGGGGAUAAAAACUUUACAUGGAACUACGUGUCUCGUCAUUUCUGGUGUCCGGGGGGCCUUAAUGAGUGAAACACAGCACAUAAGCACUCUGUACAAACCUCGCUCAUCUUUACCACUGUCACUGUGUAAUGCAUCUGUGUGACUUUAGUGUGCGUGUGUAUGUGAACACAGACGCUGCUGUAAAGGGCAAUGAGAGGCAUGUAAUGGCUCAUUCUGUGAGGUCCAAAUGUCUUCUGUGAUAAGGUCAAACCACAUUUUCUCGCUGUAAGUGUGUCAGACAGUUUCUCCUCAUUUGAUGAGCCAACAGUAAGGAACAGCAGAGGAGGACUGCCGUACUUCUUUCCAUUGCCUGCGCAGUUAUACAAUCACAUGAUUAAUGGUGAUGAUGGAAACAGGUGGUAUGCAAUUACAUGUGAAAGUUGGAU
rnacentral:lncRNA from 1 species